rnacentral:tRNA from 1 species
UCCCUGGUGGCUCAGAUGGUAAAGCGUCUGCCUAUAAUGCGGGAGACCUGGGUUCGAUCCCUAGGUCGGGAA